rnacentral:lncRNA from 1 species
UUCACCUAUCGAAGGAACAUCUAUCAAAGUAUUUUUUUGAAUUGGACCUUUUAAUUAUUUUAUUUAAUUUAAAUUCUAUCUUAAUUUAUAUAUUAAUUUUAUUGACGACAUCAUACAAUAAUUCAUUGGAUCAAAUAUUUUAUAGCAUUUAAAUAUUGUACUUUGUAGAAAAAUGGUUAGCCAAUAUAUGUGUAAUUGAGAAAAAAUAAUGAAGUUAAUUCAACAUAAGGCAAAAAAUUAAUUUAUA